UAUCCAUGAUGUGGACAAGAAUUCAAAAGAUCCUUAAAUCUCUCACAACAUUGGAAUAAGGUAUCUUCCUCUUUUUGAAAAAAGUUCAUGAUCACCCUUCUCAGGGU